rnacentral:rRNA from 1 species
AUUGAACGCUGGCGGCAUGCCUUACACAUGCAAGUCGAACGGCAGCGGACCUUCGGGUGCCGGCGAGUGGCGAACGGGUGAGUAAUAUAUCGGAACGUACCUUUCAGUGGGGGAUAACGUAGCGAAAGUUACGCUAAUACCGCAUAUUCUGUGAGCAGGAAAGCAGGGGAUCGCAAGACCUUGCGCUGAUUGAGCGGCCGAUAUCAGAUUAGCUAGUUGGUGAGGUAAAGGCUCACCAAGGCGACGAUCUGUAGCGGGUCUGAGAGGAUGAUCCGCCACACUGGAACUGAAACACGGUCCAGACUCCUACGGGAGGCAGCAGUGGGGGAAUGUUGGACAAUGGGCGCAAGCCUGAUCCAGCCAUGCCGCGUGAGUGAUGAAGGCCCUAGGGUUGUAAAGCUCUUUCAACGGUGAAGAUAAUGACGGUAGCCGUAGAAGAAGCCCCGGCUAACUUCGUGCCAGCAGCCGCGGUAAAGUGACU